AUGGAACUAUGUGAAAAGCAUAAAGAAGAAAUAAAAAUGGAAAAAAUAUUAGUAAAAAACUUGGCAUGUUGCAAAAAUAAAACAGCACCUCAAUUUGGUUGUACGGAUAGGUAUUAUAAAAAUAGAAAGAAAUAUAAUAAAAAAUACAGAUCAAAAUAUAAGUACAAAAGACCAAGGAGAAACUACUAUGUAAAAAACUACAAAACCAAAAGACCAUAUAGACCAAAGAGAAAACUAACGGAAUGUACUUGUUAUAAUUGUGGAAAAUUAGGACACAUAGCUAAAGAUUGCAAAUUACCUAAAAAUCCAAAGAAAAAACAAAUAUCAGAAAUACUAGUAGACAAC
rnacentral:lncRNA from 1 species